rnacentral:rRNA from 1 species
GAUGAACGCUGGCGGCGUGCCUAAUACAUGCAAGUCGAGCGAACAGACGAGGAGCUUGCUCCUCUGCCGUUAGCGGCGGACGGGUGAGUAACACGUGGAUAACCUACCUCUAAGACUGGGAUAACUUCGGGAAACCGGAGCUAAUACCGGCUCAUAUAUUGAACCGCAUGGUUCAAUAGUGAAUGACGGUUUUGCUGUCACUUAUAGAUGGAUCCGCGCCGCAUUAGCUAGUUGGUAAGGUAACGGCUUACCAAGGCAACGAUGCGUAGCCGACCUGAGAGGGUGAUCGGCCACACUGGAACUGAGACACGGUCCAGACUCCUACGGGAGGCAGCAGUAGGGAAUCUUCCGCAAUGGGCGAAAGCCUGACGGAGCAACGCCGCGUGAGUGAUGAAGGUCUUCGGAUCGUAAAACUCUGUUAUUAGGGAAGAACAAAUGUGUAAGUAACUAUGCACGUCUUGACGGUACCUAAUCAGAAAGCCACGGCUAACUACGUG